rnacentral:tRNA from 1 species
UGCGCAUGCGGUGGUA